CCUGCUGAGAGAAGAAGCAGCAGUAAGGCUUUUUUCUAAAAAAAAAAAGAAAAAAAAUGCUUAUACUACAUUGCUGGAAAAGUCCAGAAGUGGAAAAGUCCACUUGUAAAAAGAAACUUCAGAAUCACUUCAUGUGAAUACCGAAAGCUCAGUCUCAGAGUCAUCACCCAGUUGAAAGUCAAUGAUGAACCACAGGAGCUGAAAAAUUAUUAUCUUCUAGCGACCCAGUAGCCAUUGUAAUGUCACAGCACAGCAAAUUACUCAUUGCGGGGAUACAGGUGUAAGCAAGCCUACUGCACUGCCGAAAAUAAAAAAGUCUAAGUUAUUGCUACCAAGUUAACAAAAUCUGGAGUUGAAUGCUGUUGGCCUGUUGAAAAUACAAGAAUUUAUGGUGACAAAAUGAAUCCUGACAUUCAGGGAAGAAAAAAACUGGUCUCUGAUUUUUUUCAACCACAUUGUAUUUUCACUGAAUUCCUUGGCUUAAAGUGAUAACGUACAGAAAUAUUUCAUAUAUCAUUUAAAUGGCAUGAGGUCUUGGAAACAGUUUAACAGAUAACACACAGACCUCAAUGCCAAAGCCCUCAAAACAUAUAAAAUAUGUUUCUUACAAAAGAUGAAGGUUUAUUUCUUUCUUUGCUUCUUUACAUUGUUUACUUCUAAUACCAUUUUCAAGGAAAAUUCUAAGUACAAAAAAUAAGCUUAUACAAUGGCUUAUGUGUUCUCUUUUACAGUGGUUUUAUGAACUCUGGAACUGGGUUCUUUGUUUCAAUGGAGGUAAAGUUAAAAGUGUUCUCUUGUAGGGGAUUAGGGUAGAGUGUCUGCCAUUCGGCACUAAUGAUAUGUUGGGCCAGAUAACUGUUGUAAAGUGCUGAUGUUUGGCAGCAUUCCUGACCUCUACCACCAGACGCCAGAA